UACGUAGGUGGCAAGCGUUAUCCGGAUUUAUUGGGCGUAAAGGGAACGCAGGCGGUCUUUUAAGUCUGAUGUGAAAGCCUUCGGCUUAACCGGAGUAGUGCAUUGGAAACUGGGAGACUUGAGUGCAGUAGAGGAGAGUGGAACUCCAUGUGUAGCGGUGAAAUGCGUAGAUAUAUGGAAGAACACCAGUGGCGAAAGCGGCUCUCUGGUCUGUAACUGACGCUGAGGUUCGAAAGCGUGGGUAGCAAACAGG
rnacentral:rRNA from 1 species